GACGAACGCUGGCGGCGUGCCUAAUACAUGCAAGUUGAGCGAUGAAGAUUGGUGCUUGCACCAAUUUGAAGAGCAGCGAACGGGUGAGUAACGCGUGGGGAAUCUGCCUUUGAGCGGGGGACAACAUUUGGAAACGAAUGCUAAUACCGCAUAACAACUUUAAACAUAAGUUUUAAGUUUGAAAGAUGCAAUUGCAUCACUCAAAGAUGAUCCCGCGUUGUAUUAGCUAGUUGGUGAGGUAAAGGCUCACCAAGGCGAUGAUACAUAGCCGACCUGAGAGGGUGAUCGGCCACAUUGGGACGUAGAAACGGCCCAAACUCCUACGGGAGGCAGCAGUAGGGGAUCUUCGGCAAUGGACGAAAGUCUGACCGAGCCACGCCGCGUGAGUGAAGAAGGUUUUCGGAUCGUAAAACUCUGUUGGUAGAGAAGAACGUUGGUGAGAGUGGAAAGCUCAUCAAGUGACGGUAACUACCCAGAAAGGGACGGCUAACUACGUG
rnacentral:rRNA from 1 species